AUGGCUCAGGAUGAACGCUAGCGGCAGGCUUAACACAUGCAAGUCGAGGGGCAGCGGGAUGUAGCAAUACAUUGCCGGCGACCGGCGGAUGGGUGCGUAACGCGUAUGCAACCUACCUAUACAGGGGAAUAACCUUUCGAAAGGGAGACUAACACCCCAUGGUAUUGAUUUAAGGCAUCUUAGAUUAAUUAAAUAUUUAUAGGUAUAAGAUGGGCAUGCGUAUGAUUAGCUAGUUGGUAAGGUAACGGCUUACCAAGGCGACGAUCAUUAGGGGUUCUGAGAGGAAGGUCCCCCACACUGGUACUGAGACACGGACCAGACUCCUACGGGAGGCAGCAGUGAGGAAUAUUGGUCAAUGGGCGCAAGCCUGAACCAGCCAUGCCGCGUGCAAGGAAGACGGCCUUAUGGGUUGUAAACUGCUUUUACAUAAGACUAACCGUAUAUUUGCGAAUAUACCUGAAUGUAUUAUGAGAAUAAGGAUCGGCUAACUCCGUGCCAGCCGCGGC
rnacentral:rRNA from 1 species